rnacentral:rRNA from 1 species
AUUGAACGCUGGCGGCAGGCCUAACACAUGCAAGUCGAGCGAGUGGCGGACGGGUGAGUAAUGUCUGGGAAUCUGCCUGAUGGAGGGGGAUCACUACUGGAAACGGUAGCUAAUACCGCAUACUAUCAGAUGUGCCCAUAUGGGAUUAGCUUGUAGGUGGGGUAACGGCUCACCAAGGCGACGAUCCCUAGCUGGUCUGAGAGGAUGACCAGCCACACUGGGACUGAGACACGGUCCAGACGCCUACGGGAGGCAGCAGUGGGGAAUAUUGCACAAUGGGCGCAAGCCUGAUGCAGCCAUGCCGCGUGUAUGAAGAAGGCCUUAGGGUUGUAAAGUACUUUCAGCGGGGAGGCGUUACCCGCAGAAGAAGCACCGGCUAACUCCGUGCCAGCAGCCGCGGUAAUAC